GCUGGGCAUGGUGGCGGGUGCCUGUAAUCCCAGCUACUAGGGAGGCUGAGGUAGGAGAAUUGCUUGAACCCAGGAGAUGGAGGUUGCAGUGAGCUGAGAUCACGCCACUGCACUCCAGCCUGGGCAACAGAGCAAGACUCCGUCUCAA
rnacentral:SRP_RNA from 1 species